CCCGUGAUGCAGCCAUGCCGCGUGUGUGAAGAAGGCCUUCGGGUUGUAAAGCACUUUCAGUAGGGAGGAAGGUAGUGUAGUUAACACCUGCACUAUUUGACGUUACCUACAGAAGAAGCACCGGCUAACUCCGUGCCAGCAGCCGCGGUAAUACGGAGGGUGCGAGCGUUAAUCGGAAUUACUGGGCGUAAAGCGCAUGCAGGCGGCCUGUUAAGUCAGAUGUGAAAGCCCCGGGGCUUAACCUCGGAAUUGCAUUUGAAACUGGCAGGCUAGAGUCUUGUAGAGGGGGUAGAAUUUCAGGUGUAGCGGUGAAAUGCGUAGAGAUCUGAAGGAAUACCAGUGGCGAAGGCGGCCCCCUGGACAAAGACUGACGCUCAGAUGCGAAAGCGUGGGGAGCAAACAGGAUUAGAUACCCUGGUAG
rnacentral:rRNA from 1 species